AAUUCCAGUUGAAAUUUUCUUCAUUGAACGUAUACUCAAUGAGUAAAUAAAUUGAUUUAUAAAUUAAAAAUAAUCUAUAAAUUUUAAAAUAGAUCCUUAUGUUAUACAUAGAUAAAACAUAGAUUGAUUAUCAUUAUUUAUUCUGUCCGGCUAAUGAACCAUUGAAUUAUUGGUAAAAACCCUAAAAAAAUUCCUGGAACAGAUCUUUUGAACUCCGAUGAUGUGUCAUGUGAACUGAAAAAAAAUCACGAAUAGAUUUUUUCUUCUUCUACUACCUUUCGCUUGGUCUAAAAAUGAAGGUUGGCAAGGACGUACGUGAUCUUCCUCACAUCAAAAUCUUUGGUCCAUUGAGAAAUUUACCAACGUUACGAUUAUUAAAAAUAAAUAAUUAGUUUUUUGCUAAAUAAUUACUUUGAAAAAUCAAAAAGAUAUAAGAUAUUUGAUCGUAAUAUAAAAAAUAUAAUAAACAGAUACAGCUUUUCAUCCGAUAUCGUUAAAUAAAAAAGAUGAUUCAUGAUGUAAGUUUGUGAAGAAUGUACGAAAUCUAACUUUCUAUCACCGGAAAUUCCACUCUGAAUCCUGACGAAUUUCACAGAAAUGCAGUAGAUGGAGAACUUACUGAUGUAAAUUUUUAUGUGCCGAUGUCAGCGAUGUGUGUAAAAGAAUGUCGCUGAAUCAUUGCGUGUAAAACGCAAGCUACACGUAAGUUAAAGCUUUCCUGUUUCUUCAGCCAUUGACAGGAAUAAACGUGUUAGGAGAAUGUGAACACGUUCAAAUUAAGGUUCCUGUCCUAAAAUCUAUCUGUAAUAUAAUAAUCAAGCUAUCAUUAAUUAUUUUUCAACAAAAUAUGAUAAUUGAUUAAUGGUAUUUUUCAAUUUUUAUGUAAUAAUUAUUCAUAUGGUUUUCGGAAAAAUAGACACGUGCUCUUUGUAAUAUAUUGUGGAUUGCCUAUUAAUUAAACAACAUCAACAAAUAUCAAAAUGAAUGGAGUUACUAUUAUAUGUUAAUUUAAUGUUAUUAAUUUGACGAUAUAAAAUCACACAAUAAUCUGCUACUCAAUAGAGCACCAUAUAACUAUAUUGUUAUCAUUGUGAUGAUGACGUUAUUUCUACUGUUCAUUAUGUUUAUAAUUACUAGGUACUGUAGCUGAAUAGUAAAUACGUUUGAUGGAAAUAAAGUGGGGAGUAAAACUCGCGAGGAAUAAACGUCGUUCUUGUUUAGCCGUUUAUGCAUUACCCUAGGUCAAGAGCACAUACUCCCACUCACCAUGUCUUUCAUCUUCUUAUUGAUGUUACCCAUCUUUCACAGCUAUUUUA